AUGGCGUUCGCCGCGCGGAGGAGCCUCGCCUCCCGCUUCUCCCACCACCUCACCCGCCGCUUCCACCCAUCCGUCCCGCAUCUGCUCACCCGCUCCAACGACGAUGAACCCCCGAGCCCCUCAUCUCAGCCACAGCCACUCCCGUCAUUCCGCUCCCCGCUCCCGCCCGCUUCCAGAGCAGCCCAAACCCUACACCACUUCCUCCCCUUCUCUCUCCACCACUCGGGGCUACCUCGCCGCGGCUUCUCCUCCUCCGCCCCCGCUCCGGACCCACCCGGAGAGGUUGAUGCUGCCGCGAGCGUCCUUGUCGACGCCGCGGAGGCGGUGGCUUCGUCGGUGCCGGCGCCGUUCCCGGGGGAGGUGGCAGCCGCCGCCGCCGACUCCUUCUUCCCCGUCGCCGCGCUGCAGUACCUCAUUGACUACGUACAUACCUUCACCGGUCUCAACUGGUGGGCUUGUAUCGCGUUAACGACGGUGCUGAUCCGGACCGCGACGAUACCAGUGCUGGUUAGCCAGCUGAAGUCCACCCAAAAGCUAAAUGCAAUAAAACCAGAGAUGGAAGCCGUUAAGGAUGCAAUGGAUAGUACGGAUCCAAAAACAGCGUUAGAGGGGAAGUAUAAAAUGACCGCACUCUUUCAAAAGCAUGGUGUUAGUCCAUUUAGUCCACUAAAAGGAAUGCUAAUCCAAGGUCCAAUGUUCAUGAGCUUUUUCUUUGCUAUAAAUAACAUGGUUGAGAAAGUCCCUUCAAUGAAAGGAGGAGGAGUAUUUUGGUUUACUGAUCUGACAACCCCGGAUCCUCUUUACAUCUGUCCUGUGUUAGCAGCACUGACCUUCUUGGCCACAGUGGAGCUUAACCUGCAGGAAGGGAUGGAGGGCAAUUCUAUGGCCGAUAAAAUGAAGACAUUUUCUAGAGGAAUGGCACUCAUGACAGUCCCGUUCACAAUGAAUUUUGCCAAGGGAAUUUUCUGUUACUGGGUCACGUCGAACUUGUUCUCCCUCGUAUAUGGUAUUGUUAUGCGUCGACCCGCUGUGAGGAAGUUGUUUAAUCUUCCUGCUUGGGAAGCUCCGUCUGCACCCGCACUGAAUUCAGCCUUGAAUAUGUUUGGUGGAUCCAAGGCAGUACCUUCAGCAAGGUCACCUUUAGCACUCACGGCAGCCCAGCAAUCUUCUUUGGAGAAACCUGAUGCUGCCGCUCUUGGGUAUCGGGUAAAAAAUCUUGAAAAGAAGGGGAAAUCUAGAGGCAAAUCUCGGAAGCGCAGGUAA
rnacentral:rRNA from 1 species